rnacentral:rRNA from 1 species
UACGAAGGGGGCGAGCGUUGUUCGGAAUUACUGGGCGUAAAGGGCGCGUAGGCGGUCUUUUAAGUUAGGCGUGAAAGCCCCGGGCUCAACCUGGGAACUGCGCUUAAGACUGGAAGACUAGAAAACGGAAGAGGGUAGUGGAAUUCCCAGUGUAGAGGUGAAAUUCGUAGAUAUUGGGAAGAACACCAGUGGCGAAAGCGGCUACCUGGUCCGAUUUUGACGCUGAGGCGCGAAAGCGUGGGGAGCAAACAGG